CUACGGAGGGUGCGAGCGUUAAUCGGAAUUACUGGGCGUAAAGCGUGCGUAGGCGGUUUGUUAAGUCAGAAGUGAAAGCCCUGGGCUCAACCUGGGAACGGCUUUUGAGACUGGCAGACUAGAGUUGAGUAGAGGGGAGUGGAAUUUCCGGUGUAGCGGUGAAAUGCGUAGAGAUCGGAAGGAACACCAGUGGCGAAGGCGACUCCCUGGACUCAAACUGACGCUGAGGUACGAAAGCGUGGGUAGCAAACAGGAUUAGAUACCCUAGUAGUCC
rnacentral:rRNA from 1 species